GACGAACGCUGGCGGCGUGCUUAACACAUGCGAGUCGAACGGAAAGGCCCUGCUUUUGUGGGGUGCUCGAGUGGCGAACGGGUGAGUAACACGUGAGUAACCUGCCCUUGACUUUGGGAUAACUUCAGGAAACUGGGGCUAAUACCGGAUAGGAGCUCCUGCUGCAUGGUGGGGGUUGGAAAGUUUCGGCGGUUGGGGAUGGACUCGCGGCUUAUCAGCUUGUUGGUGGGGUAGUGGCUUACCAAGGCUUUGACGGGUAGCCGGCCUGAGAGGGUGACCGGCCACAUUGGGACUGAGAUACGGCCCAGACGCCUACGGGAGGCAGCAGUGGGGAAUAUUGCACAAUGGGCGGAAGCCUGAUGCAGCAACGCCGCGUGCGGGAUGGCGGCCUUCGGGUUGUAAACCGCUUUCGCCUGUGACGAAGCGUGAGUGACGGUAAUGGGUAAAGAAGCACCGGCUAACUACGUG
rnacentral:rRNA from 1 species